CUGGGUGGUGAUGUGCUGGCGGCAGGAAGGACAGAUUGUGGAGGUUGGUUUGCUGGAGAAGAUCCCUGCGACGAUGAUCGGAGGCUGGGGCACCAAAUAAACUGAGCUCAGGAGGAGAGGAGAAACAGCCAGGAUUGCCACCGACACGACACACAUGACAAAAACACCUUAGAGACCAUGGUGCUGAUCUGGGAAGGAGGAGGAGGAGUGGACCCUUCACCCUCAGGGUCAUUUGGGACGUUCCUUAUCCAGAUGCAGGGAAUUAAAUUUAAAUCUUGAACACCUGGACCUUCCUUCAAUUUCCUCACUUGAAAGAAGCAGCAGGUCAGAGCAUCGUUUCUAUAAGAGAAAGGAUGGAAAGAGCUCAGCACAGCUGCUCUUAGUUGUGGCAGGUUAAUGGCUGAAUAACUGACAUAAUCAAAGAUACAAAUCCCAACCAGUAAAUUCCUGGAAAUGCAAAGUGUUCUUGGAAUUUCUAUGCUGAGAUUUUCUGGGAAGAUUGCUUCACCUGCCUGGUUUCAGUCCCAAAUAACUGCUGAAAUUCCACCCUUUUAAGUGCAGUGCUUCUUCUGCAAGCCCUGUGAAAAAGCAGCCACGUACCCUGUGAUCACCAUGGUCAAGUGAAAACCAGACUGAUCCUGCUUUAUUUUUUCUGGCCUGAAGAGACAAGCUGUCUGCCCCUGCAGAGUUUACCCUUGUGGGUCCCAGCUGGCUGUGCCUUCACUGGGAUGGAAACUGCUCCAGCCUGCUGAGUGAGCCAUGCAACAUCCCUGGAUUCAGUGAGAGCAAAAUAAUUCAAAGGCACCCCAAGGAGCAGAAGUCAGACACACUGAAGAACAGCCCAGGCUGGGUAAUCCAGUGAGUGCAGGAACUGGGAAUUGUCCUGACUAUGUGUGAGAGCCUGUACAGAAAGGAAAAAGAAUGAGACAAGAAAAAUAUGUCAAAGAAAGAGUUAUUGUGCUCUAAACUCCUUGGGUUGUUUUUGUGGAAGGCCCUUAAAAUCUCGACCCAGGAAGAUGGAGAUAACACCAGCAGAGCACACCCAAAGCUAAUUUGUGUGAGUGUUGUCAGGAGGCACUGUGGGAGAGAAGAUGAUGACUUUAUGCCAGCACAGGGUAUCUUGAGCACAAGCUGAGUGUUUCAGUUGUGAGUUUAGCUUAGUUUUGAACAGUCUGAAGCUCUGUAAUGCCAUUUUAAGUGGUUUUGAGUAUGUUAGUUGGAAAAAGAAGAUACAGAGAACUCUUUCAGCACAAAACUCUGUAAUUUACUGGACACUGUUUUCAGGAGGAUUUUGGUGCUGUACAUGAGGUGCUCCAUUUGCUUCUCAGAUAUUUUGCCAGGCAAGGUGCCCAAUAAUUAUGUACUGAAAGAUCAAGAGACACUGGUGCUCCUAACCAAACAAUUUCACUUUCAGAGCAUAAGGAACUCAUGCAAGUGACAGGUCAGAGAGCAGAUUAAUUUGGACACAGCAUGCUUCUCUUGAGAAGUCCUGCUUGGAGGGGAAGUG